rnacentral:lncRNA from 1 species
UGGGAGUGAGUGUGGUAGUGAGAGGUAUAGAUGAAGCCUUGGUUGUGCAACUGAAAAGUGAUAGAAAUAUGCUUCGCCAGAGAAGUGGGUAUGUGGGAUGUUGAGAACAAAGUGAGGGGAAGAGGCUUUGCUUGAAAGUGGGAAUAAGGGGUUGGUCGGAAAGUGCUUCACUGGAAUGUGUUGAACAUGUUUUUCUGUUGCGUUUCACUGCUGCUGCUGUUCAAUGUGUUUGCUGCUGUUAUUCACCUGUUUCAUAUAAGGAAUAUAAGUGUGGGAGUGUGGGGUUAAAUUACCAUAUACCAAAAAAAACCUUUGCUGCAUAUUAAAAAAUAAUUGUGAAGGGGACUUUUUCCUUCAAAAUUAGGGUUCCACUUGCAGCAAUGAUGGAGAUGGUACUGACCUGUGAUUUGGGUUGCAAUGUUGCCGCUUUUUGACACGCAACGGCCAUCCGUGCCGUGAUCCACCUUAUCGCCACAUGGAAGGACCGAAAACCAAUGUGAUAUUGCCAUCCCAGCGCAAUAGUGUGCUAUUGACUACCCGGAUUUUACCUUCAGUU